AUUGAACGCUGGCGGCAUGCUUUACACAUGCAAGUCGAACGGUAACAGGCCGCAAGGUGCUGACGAGUGGCGGACGGGCGAGUAAUGCAUCCGACCGUGCCCAGCCGUUGGGGAUAACUACCCGAAAGAGAAGCUAAUACCUCACACGAUCUAUGGACGAAAGCGGGGGACGGUAAGGCCUCGCGCGAUCUGUGGGGCUGAUGUCAGAUUAGUUAGUUGGUGGGGUAAAGGCUCACCAAGCCAACGAUCGGUAGCUGGUCUGAGAGGACGACCAGCCACACUGGGACUGAGACACGGCCCAGACUCCUACGGGAGGCAGCAGUGGGGAAUUUUGGACAAUGGGCGCAAGCCUGAUCCAGCAAUGCCGCGUGCGGGAAGAAGGCCUUCGGGUUGUAAACUACUUUUGUACGGAACGAAACGCCUCUGGUUAAUACCCGGGGCUGAUGACGGUACCGGAAGAAUAAGCACCGGCUAACUACGUG
rnacentral:rRNA from 1 species